UUUAGAUCAACAAAUAAAGAUUAUUAUUGAUGGACACAUUUGGGCAAAAACCGAAAACUUCUCAACAUUUUGACUUGAUGGGAUCUACUGUCCUCGUCAUCGGACCAACCGGCUGCCGUGAGUUUGUUUUCCUCUGAAUCCCACAGGCGUGUUUGUUGUGUUUGUCCACCAUAAAGUGACGUCUGUCUGCCGAGUGGAAGACGACACCUUAUCAAGCUGUAGGGAAAUUACCCCCCCCCCAUAAAACAGUUGUUUUAUUUCAGAUGUUAGAGAACAACUGGACUGUUUCUGAGGUGGAGGUGAUGUCUUCAUGUAGUUAGAAUGCUUUAAAGUGCACAGACACGCCAUUUCUGUCAGGUUUUAAUUGUAUGUGGAUUAUUUUUCAUGCCCCGUUGUUUGUUUAGUCAAAUGUGUCGUUGCCUUUAAUCCUAUUCCUUUGCAUGCUCUUCGUGGGGUGUUGGCAGACUUUCAGUGCGGCUGCCUCUCAAAGGCUCAUUUUGACUUC
ensembl:lncRNA